rnacentral:lncRNA from 1 species
UAUCGGCAUCUCUCGAUUUGCUGCUGUGUGGAUCUUUUGCCGAACAACCAAAGCCGUCGCCACUCUCUGUUAUGUCAGCAGGGGCUUUUAAAGCCCUGAAUCCAUGUAGAAAUAGGAGUCAAAGCUGAUGUUGAACUCUUCACAGCACCCAAAUAGCUCCUAGGCCCGUCAGAUCAAGACCGGCAACACUUCAAGUUAUCCGAUCCCGAAAUCGAUCUAUGAAAACCAUCGUAGACCGCGAGAAACUAGCCCAAAACAUCCUUCAAUCCACGGUGGAUUGCGAGAAACCAAGAGAA